CCUACGGGCGGCAGCAGUGGGGAAUAUUGGACAAUGGGCGAAAGCCUGAUCCAGCCAUGCCGCGUGUGUGAAGAAGGCCUUCGGGUUGUAAAGCACUUUCAGUGGGGAAGAAAGCCUUGGGGCUAAUACCCUCGAGGAAGGACAUCACCCACAGAAGAAGCACCGGCUAACUCCGUGCCAGCAGCCGCGGUAAUACGGAGGGUGCGAGCGUUAAUCGGAAUUACUGGGCGUAAAGCGCGCGUAGGCGGUCUGAUAAGCCGGUUGUGAAAGCCCCGGGCUCAACCUGGGAAAGGCAUCCGGAACUGUCAGGCUAGAGUGCAGGAGAGGAAGGUAGAAUUCCCGGUGUAGCGGUGAAAUGCGUAGAGAUCGGGAGGAAUACCAGUGGCGAAGGCGGCCUUCUGGACUGACACUGACGCUGAGGUGCGAAAGCGUGGGUAGCAAACAGGAUUAGAUACCCGAGUAGUC
rnacentral:rRNA from 1 species